rnacentral:rRNA from 1 species
GAUGAACGCUGGCGGCGUGCCUAAUACAUGCAAGUCGAGCGAACGGACGAGAAGCUUGCUUUUCUGAUGUUAGCGGCGGACGGGUGAGUAACACGUGGAUAACCUACCUAUAAGACUGGGUUAACUUCGGGAAACCGGAGCUAAUACCGGAUAAUAUUUUGAACCGCAUGGUUCAAAAGUGAAAGACGGUCUUGCUGUCACUUAUAGAUGGAUCCGCGCUGCAUUAGCUAGUUGGUAAGGUAACGGCUUACCAAGGCAACGAUGCAUAGCCGACCUGAGAGGGGGAACGGCCACCCUGGACCGAGAACACGUCCCAGCCCCCCAGGGGGGGCACCGGUGGGGAAUCUUCCGCAAUGGGCGAAAGCCUGCGGGAGCAACGCCGGGGGGGUGAGGAAGGUCUUCGGGUGGUAAAACCUUUUUUUUGGGGAAAAACAAAUGUGAAGGUAACGUGGCCAAUCUUAACGGUACCAAAACAAAAGGCCCGGGCUAACUCCGG